rnacentral:rRNA from 1 species
AGCUCGUAGUUGGAUUUCGGGUGGGUUUUAGCGGUCCGCCUAUGGUGAGUACUGCUAUGGCCUUCCUUACUGUCGGGGACCUGCUUCUGGGCUUCAUUGUCCGGGACAGGGAUUCGGCAUGGUUACUUUGAGUAAAUUAGAGUGUUCAAAGCAGGCUUACGCCGUGAAUACUUUAGCAUGGAAUAACAUGAUAGGACUCUGCCCUAUUCUGUUGGCCUGUAGGUGUGGAGUAAUGAUUAAGAGGAACAGUCGGGGGCAUUCGUAUUUCAUUGUCAGAGGUGAAAUUCUUGGAUUUAUGAAAGACGAACUACUGCGAAAGCAUUUGCCAAGGAUGUUUUCAUUAAUCAAGAACGAAAGUUGGGGGCUCGAAGACGAUUAGAUACCGUCGUAGUCUCAACCAUAAACGAUGCCGACUAGGGAUUGGCGGAC